AGGCCCUCCCCAAAGGCACCAUCCUGGCUUUCUUACCACCUCUCUUUUCCUCUCUCUGCUCAGUGGUGCCUCCAAGGGUCUAUUGGAGGAGCUAGUACUUAAUUCAUAUUGUCUCUCAUUUAUAGUGGCUUUCCCUGAAGUUCUGCAUCUUGGUUUCCAAAUAUGUUGUUUCUGUGAAUAUCCAUCUGUCUGUUCUUCCAUCCACCCAUAUACCUGUUUAUCCAUUUACCCAUUUCUCUAAAAACUCUCUCCCCACUCCUUUUUUUUGGGGGAGAUCUCUAAUUAGUUUAGAAAUGGGUUGCUUUCUAUAAAUACCUUCACCAAAUUUGUAUUUCAUAAUAUUAGUAACAGUGAUAAUAAAAAUAAACAACUCCCAAAUAUAAGUGUUUGGUACACACACACACACACACGCCUGAUGUUCUCCCAAGAUUUUGGUAUAUAUAACCUCACUUUAUCCUUACAGUGACCUUUGGAGUUAUCUAUUACUAUUACAGAAGAAACUAAGGUUCAGAGAGGUCCAGCAAUGCAACUUACAAUUGGCAGAGCCAAGAUUUGAACUCCUGGCUCCCAAGCAGCCCAGACCCUGUAUAACACUGUAUUCUCCUGACUCCCGCUGCUAACUCACCCCUCAUUUAGGAUAUGCAUUCGAUAUCCCUACCACUCUCUGUGUGGCUUCUGGCUUUUAGUAAUCCUUACUGCUCUUUGCAUAUAUUUAUUGGGCAAUGACAUUAAGCGUCUGAAAGUAAACAGGCUCAUUUCAUUAAUUCUUAUUACUACUCUGUAGUAUUUUACUUAGGUGAAGCAAAGUUUUUAUUGCUUCUAAAGAGAGAUGAAAUAUUUCAGGACAACUUGAUGUGAUGGACAGAGCUGUGCCUUGGGUCAGAAGAGCAAGGAAUUGAAUCCUGGCAUGGCCUCUUAUUACCUAUGGGCCUUGGGGCAUGUGACUCAGAAGUGUCUGUUGUAAAGGUACCCAGUAUUUGUUUUAGGGGAUAAGACAUGCGGACACAGAAGGAAAUGACUCUUAUGAAGGAAUAAGUGUAUUAUAUUCAUAGUCUCCUAAAAGCAGAAGGCACGGCACACCAUGAUGUCAGGGCCACAUGGGGUGGCACCAUGGCUGGUCAGGAGGCAGAGGGAGCCGAGGGCAAGAGCCUUUAUUGUGGUUUCCCAGCAAGGAAAGGGUAAGGCAUGGUAAGCAGGUUCAGGAUUGGCUAAUUGGAAUAAUUUCAGCAGGCUCUGAGGUAUAGGGAUUGAUUGUCUAGUCCCUGGUCCUGGGUUGUUAGGGAACAGGGAGUGGAGAGAGGAUAGCGGCCUGGAGUGUGAGAGUCUGGUAGGGGAGGUAGUUGCAGUGGGCUCUGGAUUGGUUGUCUUGCAUUUGGCAGGUGCUUUCUAUUUAUUUAUUUAUUUAAAUUUUUUUUUUUUUUUGCUCUUCAGGGUGGCACCUGUGUCACAUGGAAGUUCCCAGGCUAGGGGUUGAAUUGGAGCAGUAACUGCUGGCCUACGCCACAGCCGCCACAACUCGGGAUCCGAGUCUGCAACCUACCCCAUAACUCACAGCAUCACCGGAUCCUUAACCCACUGAGCAAGGCCAAGGAUCAAACCUGCAUCCUCAGGGACAGAACCACUGAGCCUCAAUGGGAACUCCUGAGGCCAGUGCUUUCUCUAGCAAGUCUUUAACCCCCUCUUGUACUGGUUAACUUUGCGAGAGGCAGUCUGUCCAGGGUCAGUGAGGCUCCAAGGUGUCAAAGCAUGGGAAUACAGAAAAUAAGACCUGGUACUUAAAAUAAUACCCUGCCUUAGCUCCAAAGCCUCACCACACUGCUGCUUUUUAAGAGUCUUUUAAACAGAACUUUUUUGUUUCAAACUAAAUCUUAUAGAAAACCCAGUAUUUAAGUUAAAAAAUAAAAUUAGUGCUCCAUUUGAUGUAGAACUCCCUGAAUCCUUUGAACCUCCAGGAAGUGUCCGAGGCCCAUCCUUAGACAGCCUCUUCAGAACUUAGUUCUCCCACAGUCUUCAUCCUGCUGCUCUACCUUACCUUGGGUUCUUUUUUGGAAGAAGCCUAGCAGAGGAAUUAAGAGCAAGGGUCUUGGAGCCAGAUCACUUGUGUUUGCAUUCUUAGUCUGUCACCUUGGGUAAUUAUAUUUAAUCUCCUUGUGCCUUAGUGCUCCCACCUAUAAAGUGAGCAUAAUGAUAAUAGGACCUACUUUAUGGGGUUACUCUCAGAAGCAGUUGAGUUAACAGAUGCAAAGCCCUUAGAACAGUGCCUGGCAUAGAGUCAGUGCUUAAAAAACUUACAGAUUGUAAUCCUAAUAUAAAUAUGAAUCAUGAUAUUGGAUAAUAAAUAGACCAUAUCACAAUUCUUAUAUUGCUGCUAGAACUACAAAGGUGAAACAGACCAUUGCCAGUCCUGCUGCCACUAGUCAUGCUCUUAGUACUAUGACUACUUUCAUCUCUACCUCUCCAAAGACCACAACCACUGCCUCUCCUACUUUUGCUUCUAUUGUAGCUGCUUAUACCAUUGUUCCUACUGGGAUAACCCAUUGGCCCCAUUGCCAUGGGACAUCGCUUCCACCAAGUGAAAACAAUGUCAUCUGGGUCCUUAGAGUCAGAGCCAAUGAGAAGAUGCCAAAAAUGAUAGGAGCCAUCACAACUGGGCCACAUGACACUCUUUCCCUGUGUCUCUUGCAGCCUCUUUGCACUUCCCUUGCUCUGGGUUUAGGGGAUGUUUAUAAAUAGCAUAAAGUCCCCAGACAUGUAGAGCUGAUGUUGAUGAAGUUGUACAGUGAUUCUACAUUUAUGAGGUGUUUUCUCUGAGCUUGCAGGGUCAGAAAUGACCCAGUAUAGCUCUUUGUGGCACUGGACAUGCAAGUGCCAUCAUGAGUCAAGAAUAUCAUUGGUCCAGUAGCUCAGAGAGCUCCCCGCUCUCUGGAAUGUGGAAAGAGAAACCUUGCUGCCUCUGCUUCUUGACAUGGGAGUUUAUUGACUGCAGGGGGCUCUUCCCUGACUGCCCCUUGCCAUCCUCAUUUGGGGAUUAGGUUCACACUGGCUCUUGACUCUAUCUUGGUCAUGCUGUCUUGGAGCUACUGUGGCCUCUUGGGAAGAAAAUGAGCAUAUGAGAAGGGCAACUCAGCCUUUCAAAAUGUAAGUCUCUACUGAGGAAAAGGAAUUGAGGAAACAUCCCUUCUGCAAGGAAGAAAGCCGCCUUGGGCUCCCCUUUCCUGAGCCCAGCCUUAAUCUGGAGAUAUUUUACAGUGGACUUUUGAAGGGGUGACCAGUUCAUACCAAGCUGCCUUAAAUGCUUGGAACAAAAGCCUAUGGGGACUUGCAAAUCAACCCCGGGAAGAGAAAUUAGCUAUGUCUUGUCUCAGAACUCCCAAAGCCUGCUCCAAAAUAAACACAUAAGCUGUGCCGGCAGGGAAAGCAUGAGCCUUUUUUCUUCUUCAUUUUAGAAACUCCAUGUGUGCAUUAUUUUAAAUAGGCGCCAGCACACGAGGCCCUUUUAACAAGAUUGAAAACAGAUGGGGCCUUAGGCUGUUCAGUAGCUCUUAGAAACUGACAUGGGAAGUGCUAAGCCAUCUUGUGUCCAGGCGACGUUCAUUUUCUUCUUGAAGCACAAGUCUGGCCAGGCCUCUCAUUCCCAGGGAGCAGGAGUCUGCUUCCUGCAUCAGGUGUGUCAACCAGGGGAAGGAAAUAUCUCCUUUCACUGCAUUUACCCGUGUUUACAUUUACUUAACCCUUUGGCAGCUUGGGAGAAAAGAGGAUUGUGCUGGCCUUGGAGGCCCCAUGCUUCUGGAGCUGGAAGCAUUAAGUUUUAACUUCCUUAUUAUAAAUGGGAUUAUGACCCUCCAUAGCUCAAUGCUCUCAAAAAGCUCCCAGUCUCACUCAUUGAUAGCCUGUCCUUUCCGUGUCUACAGGCCCUUCAUGGUUAGACCUCUCUGGCCCUCUUCCUGCUCCUAUCUUUCUUGCUGACUCUGAUCCAGCCAUACUGGCCUUCUCAAUGUUCCUUAAAAUCAAACAGCAGAAAACAACAAAUGUUGAGGGUGUAGAGAAACUGGAACGCUCAUACAUUGCUAAUAGGAAUGUAAAGGGUACGGCUGCUGGAGAAAACAGUAGGGUGGUUCCUCAGGAAGUUAAGCAGAAUUACCAUAGGGUCCAGCAAUUCCACUCUGGGUAUAUACCCAAAAGAACUGAAAGCAGGGACUCAAAACAUGUUUGUAAAUCCAUGUUCAUAGCAGCAUUAAUCGCAAGAGCCAAAAGGCAGAAGUAACCCAGGUGUUCAUCGACAGGCGAAUGGUAAACAAAAUGUGGUAUAUCCAUGUAUUGGAAUGUUAUUCAGCCUUUAAAAGGAAGGAGAUUCUGGCGCAUGCUACAACAUGGACAAACUUUGAAACCAUUAUUCUGAGUGAAAUAAGCCAGACAUAAAAGGACAAAUACUGUAUGAUCCCACUUGUAUGAGGUGCCUAGAGUACUUAAAUUCAUAGAGACAGAGAGUACAAUAGUGGUUACCAGGGGUUAUGGAGAAUGAGCUACUGUUUUGUAGACACAAAGGUUUUGCUGGGGAAAGAUGAAAAAGUCCCGGGAAUGGUGGAUGGUGGUAAUGGUUGCACAACAAUGUGAAUGUAUUUAAUGACAUCAAUUUAUACACUUAAAAAUAGUUUAAAUGAUAAAUUUUACGUUGUGAUUAUUUUACUACGAUGAGAACAAAUUUUAAAAAACUCAAGCAAAGAGGUUCCUGGUGGCCUAGCAGUAGGGACUUAGGUCACCGCUGUGGCUUGGGUUUAAUCCCUGGCCCAGGAACUUCCACACGUUGUGGGCGCAACAAACAAAAACCUCAGACAAGCACGCACUGCCUUAGGGCCUUUGCUCUUGCUAUUCUCUUUGCCUGGAACCCUCUUUCCCCAAUGGCUCAGGUUCUUUGCACAAAUGUCACCUCCUCAGAGGCACAUGGCCACCCUCUCUGAAAUUGCACCCCACACCACGCACACUUCUCAGUUGCUCUGUGUCAUGUCACCUGCUUCACUUCUCUUCAAAGCGUUUAGCACUCUGAGCGCUAACCCUGCUGCUGUUUCCAGAGUGUCCACUACCAAGCCUGGGCUGCCAGAGGGCAGUAGAGCCUCCACAUCUGGCAUUCAAGCGCAGCUACGUUCCUCAAGGCCCAGGCGGAGGGAGUGGCCAGUCCUCAUCUUGGUGCAGAGCUUUAUCCUGGUCCUCUGGAUGUGCAGACUAGAUUGAAUGAAGGGAAAGUAAGAGGGGAGACGGCUGGGAGGCAGCUCCGGGAAGAGGAGAUGAGGCCCAUGUGCUGGGUAGCAGGAGGUAGAAAAAGAAGGCUCAAUGCUGUUUUCACUCCUGUAACACUGAAGAUGGUGCUGGACCUGUAAAAUGAAAAUAAAUAAAUAAAUAAAAGCCUGUUAAGGUCCAAUAGAUCAUUUUAAUUUCUCUGAGUUUUGAUGGAUGAGAUGUUCCUGUCAUCACAUUACAAGUUUCAAUUUGGAAAGAAAACUACAGAAAUUGAAUUACAUCAGUCUUAUUCAAGCUCUUUCAGUGUCUCCCCUCACCAUACUUGGCAGGGUCAUGCCCACUGCAUCUCUGGCCUGGUACCGUCCCAAGCAGUUCAUCCCAAAGCUCCAGCCCCACAGUUACCUUCUCACCUUCAGUUUGGCACCUGCCUGUGAUACAACCACUGAACAUGGACUCUGCUUCUGCCCCCCAAUAAUCUCCAAGUCCCUGAGCCCAUCCAUCAUCCACCUGGGGAAAUGUGGGGACACUCACAUCUGCUUUGCUUAGUCCUUUAAACACACUUUUCUGAGCAUUCAGCAGAAUGGUGUUUAAACCUCUGGAACCCAGCUCAGCGAUGAGGAGAAGUAGAUGUCAAGGGGAUAUGACCCGUCAUUCUUUUCUGUGAAGCCAGCUAAGCUCUGCUCUUAAAAUCUCUGAACCUUUGCCCCAUCUUUCACAGGCAGCAAAAAUUGUUGCAAGUGGCAACAUUUGUUCCUAGGUCUCUCAACCUUAGGGAAGCUCUGGAGAUGGGGAAAGAUGAGUCUCAGGUUGUCUUCCCACUCUGUCUCCCCUUCUUCUCCCCCCCUUCUCCCCCCCACCCCCGGCUCCUUCAGUGAACACCUCCUAUACUUGGGACAGCAUCAAAAUCUCUCCCUCCCUUGAAGUUUUUCCUGGCAGAGGGAAAAGGACAAUGGAUGUUUUACUCUGGUUCUCAGGUGCAGUUGUUUCUUGGGGAUCUGAACAGGAAGGGAGUGACUGUCAGGAAGGAAUUAGGGCAUGCCUGAGUCUUCUGGCUGCCAGCCACCAGAACCCUACCUUAACCCCAAACAAAUGUCUAUCUAGGCUUUGGAGAAAAAAACCUGGCCAAUAAGAAAUUCCUUAAGGAGUUCCUGGCAUGGCUCAGCAGUAACAAACUCGACUAGUAUCCAUGAGGAUGCGGGUUCAAUCCUUGGCCUCGCUCAGUGGGUUAAGGAUCAAACGUUGCCAUGAGCUGUGAUGUAGGUCGCAGACCCGGCUCUGAUCUGGCAUUGCUGUGGCUGUGGUUUCUGCCAGCAGCUGCAGCUCUGAUCCGACCCCUAGCCUGGGAACUUCCAUACAACAUGGGUGCAGCCCUAAAAAAGAAAAA
rnacentral:lncRNA from 1 species